rnacentral:rRNA from 1 species
GAUGAACGCUGGCGGCGUGCCUAAUACAUGCAAGUCGAGCGAAUGGAUUAAGAGCUUGCUCUUAUGAAGUUAGCGGCGGACGGGUGAGUAACACGUGGGUAACCUGCCCAUAAGACUGGGAUAACUCCGGGAAACCGGGGCUAAUACCGGAUAACAUUUUGAACCGCAUGGUUCGAAAUUGAAAGGCGGCUUCGGCUGUCACUUAUGGAUGGACCCGCGGCGCAUUAGCUAGUUGGUGAGGUAACGGCUCCCCAAGGCAACGAUGCGUAGCCGACCUGAGGGGGUGAUCGGCCACACUGGGACUGAGACACGGCCGAGACUCCUACGGGGGGCAGCAGUAGGGAAUCUUCCGCAAUGGACGAAAGUCUGACGGAGCAACGCCGCGUGAGUGAUGAAGGCUUUCGGGUCGUAAAACUCUGUUGUUAGGGAAGAACAAGUGCUAGUUGAAUAAGCUGGCACCUUGACGGUACCUAACCAGAAAGCCACGGCUAACUACGUGCCAGCCGCCGCGGUAA